rnacentral:rRNA from 1 species
AGACGUCUACAUUAGAUACCCGCGUAGUCCCAGCCGUAAACUAUGCGCGUUAGGUGUAUCGGUGACCACGAGUUACCGAGGUGCCGAAGGGAAACCGUGAAACGUGCCGCCUGGGAAGUACGGCCGCAAGGCUGAAACUUAAAGGAAUUGGCGGGGAGCACCACAACGGGUGGAGCCUGCGGUUUAAUUGGACUCAACGCCGGGAAGCUCACCGGAUAAGACAGCGGAAUGAUUGCCGGGCUGAAGACUCUGCAUGACUAGCUG